GCACAACGCGAAGAACCUUACCCACCUUUGACAUGUACGGAAUCCUUUGGAGAUAGAGGAGUGCUCGAAAGAGAGCCGUAACACAGGUGCUGCAUGGCUGUCGUCAGCUCGUGUCGUGAGAUGUUGGGUUAAGUCCCGCAACGAGCGCAACCCUUGCCAUUAGUUGCUACAUUUAGUUGAGCACUCUAAUGGGACUGCCGGUGACAAACCGGAGGAAGGUGGGGAUGACGUCAAGUCCUCAUGGCCCUUAUAGGUGGGGCUACACACGUCAUACAAUGGCUGGUACAAAGGGUUGCCAACCCGCGAGGGGGAGCUAAUCCCAUAAAGCCAGUCGUAGUCCGGAUCGCAGUCUGCAACUCGACUGCGUGAAGUCGGAAUCGCUAGUAAUCGUGGAUCAGAAUGUCACGGUGAAUACGUUCCCGGGUCUGUACACACCG
rnacentral:rRNA from 1 species